rnacentral:rRNA from 1 species
UACGUAGGGUGCGAGCGUUCAUCGGAAUUCCUGGGCGUAAAGCGUGCGCAGGCGGUUUUGUAAGCCAGAUGUGAAAUCCCCGGGCUUAACCUGGGAAUGGCAUUUGGGACUGCAAGGCUGGAGUUUGGCAGAGGAGACUGGAAUUCCCGGUGUAGCAGUGAAAUGCGUAGAUAUCGGGAGGAAUACCGAUGGCGAAGGCAGGUCUCUGGGCUAUAACUGACGCUCAUGCACGAAAGCGUGGGGAGCAAACAGG